CUAUCUGCAGAUCACAGCUAGAAAUCGUUUACAGUUUCAUUCUUUUCGUUCCAGAAUUGAUUCUCUUACCUCCUGUUUGGUUGUCGAGAAAAUGAACGAUUACGACGGAAAAUAGAUAUUGAUUCGAUCGAGCAAUUGAAGCACUUGGAUCAUAUGAGGUUCUUACUUGGUUGGAUUGGUCCCCAAGCCCUUGAUUCGGAUGUACAGAUUUUUCCAGUUCUUUCAAAGAAUCGAUCGUCAUUUGCUGAAUUCACAGAGGUGGGUUGGGGGAGGCUGAAUUUUACGAGUGGAGGAAGUUGUCGGUUUGGGGUUUUGAGUUUGGAGAAGAACGAAGGAGAAGGGGAGCAUAUGCUAUGGGGCAAAGAGGGGAGCAUAUAGCACUCAAGUUCCGGAUUUACGACGGGACAGAUAUAGGAAUCAAUACUUAUGCACCAUCUAUGACAGUAUCAUCUCUUAAGAAAAGGCUACUUGCUGAGUGGCCUCAUGCAAAAACAGUAACACCGAAGUCAGUAGACGAAGUAAAAAUCAUACAUGGUGGCAAAGUUUUAGAGAAUAGCAAGACACUUGCUGAUUCCAGAAUAACCACCGGUAACCAGACCGGUGAGGCUGUGAUCAUGCAUGCAGUAGUACAGCCUCUUGUACCCAAAAACAAAAGGACAGGAAAAAAACAGAAAGAUAUGCAAAAGAUGAAUUCAUGCUCCUGCACCCUCCUUUAAUCUGGGAAGCAGGCUCUCUGCAGCUUCGAUUUCAGCGGACUGAUCGCGUUCGGUUUUCUCAAAUUUUUGUAAUUUUUUCCUUCAUAUUUGAUGAUGCAGUUAAAGUUUCCUUUGUUACCUAAAGUUAUUGCUCGGUUCGUGUCAAACACUUGUUACCAUUUCACGUGUUAUCGUGUGGUAAAUUUUGAUGUGCUUUCACUUGGAAUAGUAACAUUAGGUGACGUCGUUUCAAGCACGCCUAAAAGUUACUUACAUAUAUAAGAUUUACCGUAAUAAUUUGUUUACUUAUUUUCAAGAGUGUUGAAAUUAUUUUAAUUCUUUGAAUUCUCUGCAUUUACUAGCAUACUAGUAGUAAAAUUUUGUCGCCUUCUAACUUUUCAUGUGUUCACUAAUACAUAUGAAUUUCACAUAAUAAUCCGUAAUUCAAUUACUAGAAAAACAAAAAAUGCAAUAAAAAAGAGGUUACCAUACCCAUUCCGUUACCUCAUGUUUCCAACUUUUCUUUUGGUACCAGUAGUACUAUACUAUAAACUAAUUUAGAGUGCGGAAAUGAAAUUCAAACUCGGAUCCAUUGGAAGCGUAUCCACUAUAGCCAAUAUGGGCAUUUUACCUGCUAAAAAUAGUAUUGGGCGUGCAUGAAUUAGGAAUGGGUCCAAUUCCCAACUGUUUCGAUGUCUUCUUCUUCAAACUUAUAAGUCAGUAGACAAAAAAUAAUGCUUGGCUGCUAAAAGAAGAACAACAAGUUCUGCUGAAAACCAAAUUAAAAAUAGACACGUGUCUAUUUGUUUGGAGUGAUGUUGGUUCAAGUUUUGAAUUCUUUAAUUGUUUGGCCACAUGUCCAUUUGUGAUUGGUCACUCUUGCCUCACAUAUAUUUGUUCAUGCUCUCAGUGUUUUGUAUAAUCCUAGUGUUGAUUAUUGUUGGUUUUGAUGGAAAACAUGAUUUGGGUUUCGCAAUUCAUGUUGUUGGUUGUAUGCUCCGUUUGCAACACCGAACAACAGGUUGCUCAACUUUGUUCCAACUGCGUUGUCAACAUGGUGGCAGGGGCGGAUCUACUAAGGGACGUGGUCCCAGGACCACCCGGAAGUCAGAAUAAGUGGCUGUAAGGACCUUCGAGGACCACCCGAGUCUUGGUGUGUGAAGGUAAUGGCGGCUGAUGAAGAAGAACCAGGAGGCAGCCUGAGGAAGAAGAAGGAGAAAAACUGCUCUUUUUUUUCUUAACCCUCGACUAAACGGUGUCGUUUCAUCUAUUCAUUUAAUGAGUAUUUGCGAGGUUGUUUGUUUUUGGCCCUUGGCUUAUAGAGAUUUAUCUAUUCAUUUACUGAGUAUUUGUGAGGCUGUUAGUUUUUGGGCCCUAACUUA